CCUACGGGAGGCAGCAGUGAGGAAUAUUGGUCAAUGGACGAGAGUCUGAACCAGCCAAGUAGCGUGAAGGAUGACUGCCCUAUGGGUUGUAAACUUCUUUUAUAUGGGAAUAAAAUGUUCCACGUGUGGGAUUUUGUAUGUACCAUAUGAAUAAGGAUCGGCUAACUCCGUGCCAGCAGCCGCGGUAAUACGGAGGAUCCGAGCGUUAUCCGGAUUUAUUGGGUUUAAAGGGGGCGUAGGUGGAUUGUUAAGUCAGUUGUGAAAGUUUGCGGCUCAACCGUAAAAUUGCAGUUGAGACUGGCAGUCUUGAGUACAGUAGAGGUGGGCGGAAUGCGUGGUGUAGCGGUGAAAUGCUUAGAUAUCACGAAGAACUCCGAUUGCGAAGGCAGUUCACUGGACUGCAACUGACACUGAGGCUCGAAAGUGUGGGUAUCAAACAGGAUUAGAUACCCUUGUAGUC
rnacentral:rRNA from 1 species